GGGAGAGGGUGAAAGAGGAUGAAGGAAAGGGCAGGGAGAGAAAGGGAGGGAAGGGAAAAGGGAAAGGGUGAAAGAGGAUGAAGGAAAGGGCAGGGAGAGAAAGGUGAGGGAAGGGAAAAGGGAGAGGGUGAAAGAGGAUGAAGGAAAGGACAGGGAAAGAAAGGGAGGGAAAGGAGAGGACUGGGUGAGGGAAGGGAAAAGGGAGGGCAAGAAGGAAGGAGUAGUGAUUAAGGGACAAGCUACACCAAGCACUGUUAUGUAGUUUGAGGUCAGCAGUGGUUCAGCCUCUCUAAGUUCUGGCGUCAAGCAUUCCAUGACCCCUUCACUUCUGUUACCUUAGAAUCCAUAUCCCGUAUUCUUGAACGUCUCGGCGCCUCACCUCGCCUGUUUGAAAAGCCUCUCGUGGAAGUUCCCGGGAGUUUCAUGGACUGUCCUUUCCUUCAUUCUCUUUCCUCUUAUGCUUUCUCUUUCACUGUCUCUCUUUUCCCUUCCCUCACCCAGCCCUCUCCUUUCUCUCCCUGUCCUUUCCUUCAUCCUCUCUCCCUGUUCUCUCCCUUACUCUCUCCCCUUGACCUUCUCUCUCAAGCCAUCCUCUUACCUUCUCCCCCCUCUCUCCUUCACCCUCUCCCCCUCACAAGCUGUACAAGACUUCUGUAUCUUGAGCGGGAAAAUCACCCAUGGAAACCUGGUUAAUCUUCUCUGCGGCCUUAGGAAACAGUCGUGAUUGGAGGCUGAUAUGUUUAAGAAUAUGGAUCUAUAUCUUCUGUAUAUAAAGACUGGCAAGUUUAAGUCAUGUAAUCCGAUAUCAACAACGUCCUUUUGUAUAUAGCCAGACCAUAUAUAUAUAUUCUGAUCAGUCGUAAUUGGAGCUUGAUACGUUUAAGAAUAUGGAUCUAUAUCUUCUGUAUAUAAAGACUGGCAAGUUUAAGCUGUGUAAUCCUAUAAAUAUCAACAAUGUCCUUUUGUAUAUAGCCUGACCAUAUAUUAUAUACUGCAGAACUGAUGACAAUACACUAUGGUUGUUAUUCUCAGAUGCUUCCACCUCUCAUAUCUAGUAUUUCCAUAGGCCAAAAAAAGGGGCUCAGUAGGAUUUUCAUGAAUGUGUUUUAGGUUCAUGGUACAGAAGAAGGGUCAAACUUAUACCACCAGGGUUGUCAUGAGUGUGUUUUAGGUUCAUGGUACAGAAGAAGGGUCAGACUACCACCAGGGUCAUAAAACUACCCAGAGUAAGGCGUAUAACUCCUACGAAAGCCUUGUUGAAUGUGUGCGCUUGGGCUCUGAAAUGUUUAAAAAUAUUCCCCAUCAUCUGUACAUAGGAACAAGUCAUCCUUAUUGGUUUCUCAUCUCUUACCCAGCGUUGCCAGAUAGUCGUACUCAUCCUCUUACGUUUGCCGAUUUCUGCCUCACAAACUGUCUCAUCUACCCCAAUAACUUGCUUCAAUACACCGGGUAUUCGAUAUAUGUGAGUUUGAAAUAUGCGAAUUCGCUCAUAUGCGACUAACCCAAAUGUGCCAAGUAUUUGUUUUAUGCGAG